rnacentral:rRNA from 2 species
AAUUUGAAAUCUGGCCCUUUCGGGGUCCGAGUUGUAAUUUGUAGAGAGUGCUUCGGGGGAGACCGCGGUCUAAGUCCAUUGGAACAUGGCGUCACAGAGGGUGAGAAUCCCGUAUGUGACCGUGGCUCGAACCCAUGUGAAGCCUCUUCGACGAGUCGAGUUGUUUGGGAAUGCAGCUCAAAAUGGGUGGUAAAUUUCAUCUAAAGCUAAAUACUGGCUGGAGACCGAUAGCGCACAAGUAGAGUGAUCGAAAGAUGAAAAGCACUUUGGAAAGAGAGUUAAAAAGUACGUGAAAUUGUUGAAAGGGAAGCGCUGGCAACCAGACCUGCCCGUAGGCGAUCAGCCGCUGUUCUCAGCGGUGCACUCGCUCUGCGAUCAGGCCAGCAUCGGUUCCGGCGGUCGGAUAAAGGCCUUGGGAAUGUACCUUCCCUUCGGGGGAGUCUUAUAGCCCUCGGUGCAAUGCGGCCAGCCGGGACCGAGGACCGCGCUUCGGCUAGGAUGCUGGCGUAAUGGUUGUC